rnacentral:rRNA from 1 species
GGGUUGUGAGGUUAAGCGACUAAGCGUACACGGUGGAUGCCCUGGCAGUCAGAGGCGAUGAAGGGCGUGCUAAUCUGCGAUAAGCGCCGGUAAGGUGAUAUGAACCGUUAUAACCGGCGAUACCCGAAUGGGGAAACCCAGUGUGACUCGUCACACUAUCAUUAACUGAAUCCAUAGGUUAAUGAGGCGAACCGGGGGAACUGAAACAUCUAAGUACCCCGAGGAAAAGAAAUCAACCGAGAUUCCCCCAGUAGCGGCGAGCGAACGGGGAGGAGCCCAGAGCCUGAAUCAGCAUGUGUGUUAGUGGAAGCGUCUGGAAAGGCGCGCGAUACAGGGUGACAGCCCCGUACACAAAAGCGCAUGUGCUGUGAGCUCGAUGAGUAGGGCGGGACACGUGGUAUCCUGUCUGAAUAUGGGGGGACCAUCCUCCAAGGCUAAAUACUCCUGACUGACCGAUAGUGAACCAGUACCGUGAGGGAAAGGCGAAAAGAACCCCGGCGAGGGGAGUGAAAAAGAACCUGAAACCGUGUACGUACAAGCAGUGGGAGCACCCUUUUGGGUGUGACUGCGUACCUUUUGUAUAAUGGGUCAGCGACUUAUAUUCUGUAGCAAGGUUAACCGAAUAGGGGAGCCGGAGGGAAACCGAGUCUUAACCGGGCGUUAAGUUGCAGGGUAUAGACCCGAAACCCGGUGAUCUAGCCAUGGGCAGGUUGAAGGUUGGGUAACACUAACUGGAGGACCGAACCGACUAAUGUUGAAAAAUUAGCGGAUGACCUGUGGCUGGGGGUGAAAGGCCAAUCAAACCGGGAGAUAGCUGGUUCUCCCCGAAAGCUAUUUAGGUAGCGCCUCGUGAAUUCAUCUCCGGGGGUAGAGCACUGUUUCGGCUAGGGGGCCAUCCCGGCUUACCAACCCGAUGCAAACUGCGAAUACCGGAGAAUGUUAUCACGGGAGACACACGGCGGGUGCUAACGUCCGUCGUGAAGAGGGAAACAACCCAGACCGCCAGCUAAGGUCCCAAAGUCAUGGUUAAGUGGGAAACGAUGUGGGAAGGCCCAGACAGCCAGGAUGUUGGCUUAGAAGCAGCCAUCAUUUAAAGAAAGCGUAAUAGCUCACUGGUCGAGUCGGCCUGCGCGGAAGAUGUAACGGGGCUAAACCAUGCACCGAAGCUGCGGCAGCGACGCUUAUGCGUUGUUGGGUAGGGGAGCGUUCUGUAAGCCUG